GAUAGCGAGGGCCAGGCUAGGCUAACCAGCAGUUAGCCCCAGCCCCAGUCCCGGUCCCGGCCCCGGUCCCAGUCCCAGUCCAAGCCAUUCCGCCAUUAGCUAGCCCUGAUUUACUAGUGGCUCUAUCUAUGGCCACUAGUAAAUCAGGCUCUUAUAAGUGCCAAAAAAAUAGUGUGAAUGUGUGAACAGCCUUUUGGCUGAUAUUGAUACAGCUUAAACAAUGACCUGACCUGCUCUACCUCUCCUGGAUGUCCAUUCACCUGGAUUUGAGGAAAACAUUGCGGGAGGAAGCAACACACAACACAAGGGUACCUGUUGGGAGCCGCAGGCAUCUCUACCUUACCUCAGAGGGACAGACGUCAUGGAGCUCACUCUGAUUGUUGUGUGGUUUAGCUCGCUCACUCGAACUGCAACACUGGGUGUUUAGUUCAUCUCAAGCAGGAAGUUUACAAUUUAAGAGAGCCAUAAUAAUGAACUAUUCAACAUAACAUGUCUAAUUGUCUCAACAGUUUUUAGGCUACAUUGAUUCUGUAUGUUAUCUAUAGGCUUAUAUCUGUCUGUAUGUUAUCUAUAGGCUUAUAUCUCAUGGCAAAAAAAAAAGAAAAGCCUCCUGAAUAUAAUGGAAUUCUGGGGGCAUCGCACGUGCAACUGCGUCCGCGCUCUGCAGGGGGCCUCACUCUGCUGGCUGUGAUGUGAUGCAGAGUCACGAGUGAACUCUGGUAAAUGGAAAUGCCUGACAUCUCUUAGUAAAUAAAGUGAGCCAUUUGUUGUGA